rnacentral:rRNA from 1 species
GAGUUUGAUCGUGGCUCAGAGUGAACGCUGGCGGCAGGCCUAACACAUGCAAGUCGAACGGCAGCGCAGCAGUAGCAAUACUGUGGGCGGCGAGUGGCGGACGGGUGAGGAAUACAUCGGAAUCUACCUUGUCGUGGGGGAUAACGUAGGGAAACUUACGCUAAUACCGCAUACGACCUACGGGUGAAAGCGGCGGACUCGCAAGAGCGUCGCGCGAUUGGAUGAGCCGAUGUCCGAUUAGCUAGUUGGCGGGGUAAGAGCCCACCAAGGCGACGAUCGGUAGCUGGUCUGAGAGGAUGAUCAGCCACACUGGAACUGAGACACGGUCCAGACUCCUACGGGAGGCAGCAGUGGGGAAUAUUGGACAAUGGGCGCAAGCCUGAUCCAGCCAUGCCGCGUGUGUGAAGAGGGCCUUCGGUUGUAAG